GGUUUUUAAUUUUUUCUCCCCCUGCCUCUGAAUUGUUUCUUGGGCAUUUUUCACUCCAACCAGAGGGUACAUUUUUUGGCAGGAGGGGCUGUGCCAGCCUGCCCCUUUGACUCACCAUAGCACAGAAUGUCGUCACCUCCACUUAUUUCAAUUGAUGCUCCUGAAGAAACAGUAUCUUUUUAUUCCCUCCUGGAGCUCCCCUUUUCCCUAUGCUUGGGCCCUGUGUCUUGAAGGGGGCUCACCUUCCUGAGCUCUGUGAUUGAUUAUGUGAUCCAGGUCUGGACAAUCAGAGCAUUCCAUUCCAUUCUCAGAUUAUUGAUUGGUUAGGAGACAACCACAUGACCUGAGCUUAGCCAAUGAGAGGCAGUCCCUGAACUUUAGGGGAAUUAACAGGAGAUUUGGGCUGGACCUGAAAGAUAUAAAAGACAUAAACCAAGGAGGUACUAGGCCACCCUGUGGAGGGAGUCUGAGGAUGAAGCCUACUUCUACUGAGGACAAGAGAGCUGCCAUGAGGUGGAAAGAGAUGUGUGCCUGACAAUAGCUGAGCUCUGGAUCCAGCCUUCCGGAUCACCUGCUGUCAUCUGGCUUUUUCAGGGACACUUGCUCUUGGAAUGGAGCCGCCUUGUUGUGAGGAAGCCCAGUCCAUGGGGAAUGGCAUAUGUAGGUGUGCUGGCUGACAAUCCAGUUGAGGUCCCAGGCAACAGCCGGCGUUGGCCACCAGACAGAUGAGAAAACAGAGGCUCGGAAAGCUACAGAGCCUUACCCAGGGUGACUCAGUGGUGAAGGUGAAAUUACCUAACAAAAGGAACAAUUUUGAAGUGAACAAUUCAGUGGUAUCUAGUCAUUCUCGGUUCCUCCUUUCCCCCAAGCCCUGGCAGCCACGGAUCUGCUUUCUGACCCCUAUGGAUUUGCCUAUUCUGGAUAUUUUAUAGAAAUGGAAUCAUAUAAUAUGUGACCUUUAUGUCUGGCUUCUUUCAUUUACAAUGUUUUCAAGGUUCAUCCACUUGUCUCAUGUAUCAGAACUUCAUUCCUUUUCAUGGCUGAAUAAUAUUCCAUAGUGUGGCUAGACCACAUUUUGUUUAAUCCAUUCAUCUGUGAAUGGAUACCUAGGCUGUUUCCAUCUUUUGGCCAGUGUGAGCAGUGCUGCUAAGAACAUGCACACACACGUACUUGAGCACCUGUUUUAAAUUCUUUUGUGUACAUAGCAAGGAGUGGAACUGCUGGGUCAUAUGGUGACUUUAUGUUUAACUUUUUGGGGAGCUGCCAAACUGUUUUCUCUAAGGCAGCGGAUUCUCCCUUAGCUUCACGACCACAGUGAGUGAGCCAGUCUGAGCAAUAAAUGUAUUGGGUCAAAGGGGAAAGAGAAGAAAGAGAGACAGUGUGAAAACCAUAUUGCAUUCAUUUGUUCAACAAUUACUUGUUGAAGUUGAUUCAACAGCAGGUGCGAAGGAAGUACAAGAAAGAAAAAUGUUCUGCCGCCAUGGAGAUGUGAGAUGAUGCUCCGGCUGUAGUUGGAGAGAGACAAUUUCAGUCACAGGUGCCAUGAGGAGAAUAAAGGGAGAUUCCAUGAUAAACAGGGAUCGGAGAUGCUGUUUGGGGGGUUGUCAGCGAAGAACUGUCUUGGAGGCGACAUUUAGACUAAGACUUGAAGGGUGAGAUGGAGCCAGCUGUGAAGGCAGAGAGGAUGGGACAAGAACAAAGGUCCGAGGCUGAGUGUCCUUAGCUUUCUUUGGUAGGCUCAAGUUCCAGCUCCAUUACUAAUUCCCCAAGGGAUAGCCUCAGUUUCCUCGCCUUGAAAAUGGACAGAUGAAAUAUGAAAUCAACCUAAGUACCCAUCAAUAGAUGAAUGGAUAAAGAAAAUGUGGUGGAUAUAUACACGAUAGAACAUUAGCCUUCAAAAGGACAAAAUCCUGCUCUUUGUAGCAGCGUGGACGGAACUGGAGGUCACUAUGUUUCAGUGAAACAGGCCACGCUCACGAAGACAAAUAUUGCCUGCUGUCACUCAUGUGGGCUAAAAAUAGUGGAUCUCAUGAAGAUAAUAGAUUGGAGGUUACAAGAGGCUGGGGAGGGUGGGGAGGAAGGAGGAUGAAAACAGCUUGAUUAAUGGGUACAAAUACAUACUUAGAUGGCAGAAAUAAGACCCAGUGGUCAAUAGAGCUGUAGGGUGGCUAGCGUUUAGAUUAAUUGAUUGUACAUUUCAAAAUAGCUAGAAGAGAAGAAUUCAAAUGUUCCUGGAGUAAAGAAAAGAGAAAUACUUAUGGUGGUGGAUACGCCAACGACCCUGAUUUGAUUAUACAAAUGGUCCACAUGGACUGUAAAAAUACAUACAGCUAUUAUGUAUCAAUAAAAGUAGAAAAUAAUGAUUACAAAAUGGGCAUCGUAUCCAAAAUCGACCCUACCUUCCUGGGCGGGGUAGAGACGAUAAUGCAGGGGAGAUGACUGAGGCUCACAAAAGUGAAGAUGC
rnacentral:lncRNA from 1 species